rnacentral:lncRNA from 1 species
AAUUAUGCAGAAAGUGGAAAUACACUAGAAUUAAUGUCAUAAUUUCGCACACAAUGAUGCUUACUAUGGAUACUUUAAACAGUCAAACUGUAGGUCAAAAUACAUCAUCAUAUGGCUGAACUUGUUCAAAUACAAAACCAAAAUCUAAAGAAAGAAACAGUAAGGACCAAAGAAUAAUUAACUGUAGCCUUACAGUCAAUACCAACUUGAAUACAUAUGAACAGAAACUAGCAAGAAGUUUUCUUCAUCCGAUUUAGGAUUAUGGAACUUCAACAUCAGCUGAACCUUUCUCUAAUGCAAAACAGUAGCAAAAUCCCAUAGGAUUAACAUACAACUAACUUGAAUAUAAGAAACUACAUCAGAUCCUCGGCAGAAUCAAAACAAAGGAACAGCAGUAAUUCAACUUAUAUUAUAUUCACAACAUGAGAAAAGCUAAUAUAACAUGCUUAAGAUUAAACUAUUACAAAAUACUAAAGAAAUGAAGGAAAUAGGGAAAAUAAAACUCCAUAACAGCUUGUAUUCAAUCAUGUUUCGCAUUCGAAUUGCAGAUUUACAAUUCACAUGUUGUCCAUAGUUCAAAAGAUACCUGGAAGUCAAAGAAAAAUAAGGAGAAUGAGGGAUUAGCAGCAGCAACAAAAUCAGUUCAGCAAACCAGCAACAAAAUCAACUUCGUUCAAACCAGUAUGGACCCAGAUGAGCACUAAUCAUUGGAGUUUUUUCAGAAAUUCUAACUAACUAUGACGUUUAAAGGUAGAGUCAAAGCCAAUUUCAACCCAAAAAAGUGCAGGGAAUUUCAGUGUUCUUUCAAGGUUUUAAGACUCAACCGUUUUUCAGUUUUUGGUAUUGUAUUUCUCUAAAAUCUGACUUGAGAAUGAAGUAACAGGCCUUUUAUAGAGGUUUUUCAGGGCUGCAGAAAUGAACUUCAGUUUUUGCUUAUUACUCCUUUUUUAAUUUUUAUUUUUGCUAGUUAGUCCUUGAUUUUAAAAUCUAUUUUUUAAACUAGCCCCAACCCCACUUUCCUAGCAGCUUCCCAAUCAGUUAUACAAGAUUCUCCUUACUUAAUUUCCCUAAACUACCAUUGUAACCCCUAUUAUUUACCCUUAGAACUGGAUACGAGUCAAGUUGACCCAAAUAUCAAUCCCAAAUCAGAUUUGCAAACCCGGCCUAAUUCCCCUCCUUGGGCCUCUGUUGACAGAGCCCAAAUCCCAUUCAAAAACAAAACUCACAAAGUUAAUGGGCUAAACGGAGUUGCCAAAAACCAAAAUACUUUCGAAAUGAAACCAAAAGCAAAAACGAGAAAGAAUUAAUUAAAACUAAGUAUGAGAAUAGAAACUAACAUGCUUUUAACCUAAUCAUGUAAAUAGAAACUGAUUCAAAAACGAAAAAUAAUAAAGAAAAGAAAAGAUGAAACGGAAGGAGAUGAAGACGAGGAGAAGAACAAAAGAACGAAAAAAAUAAGAACGAGGGUACCUACAGAAGACAGCAAACAAAUCAUGGCUUGAAAAAACUAUGAUUUUUUUUUUGAUUUUGAGCCGAAAUUGGCCUCAAUCACGUGUUCUUGUUAAGAACAAACGACCAAGGCCAGUUUCGACUCUUAAUCACUUGUCAAAACUAGAAAAACUCGGGUGAUUUUUGUCUUCUGCUUUUCUUUUUCAGAUCCAAGAUGGGUUUCAUUUGGUGAGGAUUCGAAAGAAUAUGGGGGUAGAUUAGGAAUCAGGGGUGAGUGAGGGUUGUAUGGUCGAAGUUUGGAGAGGAUUCAAAGUUGUUUUGCCGGUGAAAAUGGCGGAAUUCUUCAGGCGACGCUAGGGUUCAAUGAGAGAGAUGAGAGACAGAAGAAGGGGUGUUUGGACUAGGUUGUCUGAUGGGGGUUUGGACAUUUUUAAUAAAAAUGGGGGAAGUGAUUUUAGCCGUUAGAUAAAAUGGGACGGAAGGUUGG